UACAGAGGUGGCAAGCGUUGUUCGGAAUUACUGGGCGUAAAGGGCGCGUAGGCGGUUCGUUAAAUCCUGUGUGAAAUCCCCCGGCUCAACUGGGGAACUGCACAGGAAACUAGCGGGCUUGAGUUCGGGAGAGGGAAGCGGAAUUCCGGGUGUAGCGGUGAAAUGCGUAGAUAUCCGGAGGAACACCGGUGGCGAAGGCGGCUUCCUGGACCGACACUGACGCUGAGGCGCGAAAGCUAGGGGAGCAAACGGG
rnacentral:rRNA from 1 species